rnacentral:rRNA from 1 species
GAUGAACGCUAGCGGGAGGCUUAACACAUGCAAGUCGAGGGGCAGCACGAGGUAGCAAUACUUUGGUGGCGACCGGCGCACGGGUGAGUAACGCGUAUGCAACCUACCCUGUACAGGGGGAUAGCCCGGAGAAAUUCGGAUUAAUACCCCAUAAUGAUAUUUUAUGGCAUCAUAAAAUAUUUAAAGCUCAGGCGGUACGGGAUGGGCAUGCGUAACAUUAGGUAGUUUGUAGGGUAAUGGCCUACCAAGGCGACGAAGUUUAUGGGUCCUGGGAGGGUGAUACCCCACACUGGUGCUGGGACACGAACCGGACUCCUACGGGAGGCAGCAGUGAGGAAUAUUGGUCAAUGGGCGCGAGCAUAAACCAGCCAUCCCGCGUGAAUGAAGACUGCCCUAUGGGUUGUAAACUUCUUUUCCAAGGGAAUAAAAUCUCGAACGAGUUCGGGACUGAAGGUACCCUGGGAAUAAGCAUCGGCUAACUCCGUGCCAGCAGCCGCCGUAACAC